UUGUUCAGCUCGGUGCCAGCUUUCGCAGUUACACGGUUUUCACAUUUCAGCACAUAGUUUGAUUAACUAUUCAAGCACAUUAGAUUGCGGAAAUACAAUCCACAUAUGAAGAAGAUGUCUGAAAAAGAAAGAGACGCUGUGAAAGAUUUGAAACAUUAGCGAAAGGGGGAUCCCUAGGACUAUGUCAAAAUGAAGGGGGAGGUGGUCGCUCUUGCCAGGCGACAUGUCAGGUUUACUACGACAGCUGGUCUGUUGCUGGUCGCCUCUGUCUGUCUGUACAGGUAUAUACACUGGAUGAUCAUCCCCUGGUGCUUUAUAGCAGGAAUUAUACCAAUGUAUUUUAUACUGAGUUCCUAUGAUGAAGACACAUAUUGGAUGGGUGAAUGAGAUGAACAUGUCUACAAAAACUGAGAGCCUUUGAAUGAUCACCCAGC